AAUAGAUACCCUGGUAGUCCACGCCGUAAACGAUGAGUGCUAAGUGUUAGAGGGUUUCCGCCCUUUAGUGCUGCAGCUAACGCAUUAAGCACUCCGCCUGGGGAGUACGGCCGCAAGGCUGAAACUCAAAGGAAUUGACGGGGGCCCGCACAAGCGGUGGAGCAUGUGGUUUAAUUCGAAGCAACGCGAAGAACCUUACCAGGUCUUGACAUCCUCUGCCAACCCUAGAGAUAGGGCGUUCCCCUUCGGGGGACAGAGUGACAGGUGGUGCAUGGUUGUCGUCAGCUCGUGUCGUGAGAUGUUGGGUUAAGUCCCGCAACGAGCGCAACCCUUGAUCUUAGUUGCCAGCAUUCAGUUGGGCACUCUAAGGUGACUGCCGGUGACAAACCGGAGGAAGGUGGGGAUGACGUCAAAUCAUCAUGCCCCUUAUGACCUGGGCUACGCACGUGCUACAAUGGAUGGUACAAAGAGCUGCGAACCCGCGAGGGUAAGCGAAUCUCAUAAAGCCAUUCUCAGUUCGGAUUGU
rnacentral:rRNA from 1 species